GACGAACGCUGGCGGCGUGCCUAAUACAUGCAAGUAGAACGCUGAAGAGAGGAGCUUGCUCUUCUUGGAUGAGUUGCGGACGGGUGAGUAACGCGUAGGUAACCUGCCUCGCAGCGGGGGAUAACUACUGGAAACGAUAGCUAAUACCGCAUAACAUUGAAUGACACAUGCCUUUUAUUUGAAAGGGGCAUUUGCUCUCCUACAAGAAGGACCUGCGUGGUAUUAGCUAGUAGGUGAGGGAAUGGCCCUCCUAGGCGACGAUACAUGGCCGACCUGAGAGGGUGAUCGGCCGGCAUGGGACUGAGACAAGGCCCAGACCGCUACGGGGGGGAGCAGGAGGGAAGCUUCCGCGAAGGGGGCAACGCUGACCGAGGCACGGCGGGUGAGUGAAGAAGGGUUUCGGAUCGGAAAGCUCUGUUGUAAGACAAGAAAGGGUGUGAGAGUGGAAAGUUCACGCUUUGACGGUAGCUUACCAGAAAGCGACGGCUAACUACGUG
rnacentral:rRNA from 1 species